GCACCUUUUACACACACACACACACACACACACAUAUAUGAGUGUUAGUAAAAGCAACAAUACAAAAUCUUGAACUAUAAAAGUGCCACUUUGUCCCACUAUUAUGUGCAGGCCUGGCAUUUUGCACUGAGCUAUAGAACUACAAAAUGAAUUUUAAAUUAGCAAUAUCAUAAUUGAAUGACAUUUUGAAUUAUGUAGUGAUCUAAUUCUAUCCAUCAAACAAUUGUAUGUGAAUGUGUGAGACUUAUGGUCAUGGUUAUAGGGAAAUAACAAGAAGAACAAAGUACAGUAAACGGUAAAACUGUUUGCACUACAAACCAGUACGUUCAUAAUUAAGACAAUACAUUAAAAAUAACAUGGUAAGAUACAGCAGUUUGCAACAGUAAACAGCAAAACAAGCUGUUUGUACAGUUAAUAUAGCUGGAAUGACACCGAAAGCCAGACACAUUAAAUUUACAAAUGGCCGCGCCCCCUCUUACAGAAAAAUAAGGGGCAUAUGUUUAUUCAUAUGUUUAUGUAACGUAAGCGUGUGACUUUUAAUUCGUGACGUGCUUUCAUGGGCGUGCGCGCGGACCGGAUGGAGUUGCCAUGGAAACGGAGCGCAACACUGCAAAUGUCACGAGGAAACACCCCGUUUCUCGCUGAUUUCACUGUUUUCAGGAAUGGUUUAAUGUCUUCGAAAAAGUCCGUUAGCAUUUCUACCGUUUUCAGACGACGUAUCGUCAGAAGGGAGUGUCCAAGAUUUUAAUAUUUCUGAAGGGAGCUGCUGACAGAGAUGUAGGAAGCGCUGAAAAGAUUCUUCAUUGCUGAUGGCCUGCUGCAUCCAGCAGAGUCGGAGUGAACCUACUGUAAGACAACAUCUCCAAGAUGCUAUUGACCACAAGACUAGUACAGGUUAUUAGAAACUGCACAGCACAGGACUUGCAGGACUUGUGAGGACUUCAGAUGAUACCAGUACUCAAAAGACCUUAGAAGAUGGCAACUAUAGAUGGACAUACAAACUACCGCCACUGCAAAAAAGGUAAUGUUAAUUUGAAAGAGCUGUGUCACAGUAGCCGUGUUUCCACUAUCGAGCUAAGACCGGGCGUGCUAGUGCGUGCCAGGGCCAGUCGCGUUUCCACUGUCACUUCCGGGGCUUGAUCGUGCCUCGCUGGGGCUUCCUCGGGGCCAACGGCCAGGGUUUUUUGGCCCGACGAAAACCUUGGGCCAAAGCGGGCCAGCUGGGGCUAGAGGAGGGGUUAUGAACAAAGGCGGAGUUUCUCCGUGUCUGGAGAGCAUCAGCGCGGAUCAUUUCAGAAAGAUAACAGCUUUAACACCGGCAUUAAAGACGUUUUAAAAUCAGUUGAGCUCAAAACUCAUUCUUAGUUAGCAGCAAGUGUUUGAAAUAACUUGAUCCGAUGUGGAUUAUAAUCACUAAACAAGGCAGAAAUAUUUAUAAGCGAUGUAAAAGACUAUGCACGCUAAACAUUAACGUUAUCAUAAUAAACAUGUUAAAUAUGACCGCUUGGAGAAAUCAGACGUCAGCUUCUUAUUCUCUAUCACAAUUGUGUAUUUAUAAAGUAACAUUUUAUCUGUUGUCUCGUUUCAAGAGUUUAGCUCCACGUUGCAUAUCAUCAAAAUAUAAUAAUGAUUUUUGUUUGUGAGCUUUUAUAAAAAUAGCGAGUCUGCGCUGCUGAUCAUUUAAGAAAGAUAACAGCUUUAACACCAGCAUUAAACACUUUUUUAAAUAAGUUGAGCUCAAAACUCUCUUUCAGUCAGCAGCGAGUCUUUGAAAUAACUUGAUCCAAUGUGGAUAAUCACCAUACAAGGCAGAAAUAUGUAUAAGCGAUGAAAAAGAUAUGCACGCUAAACAUAUUACCAUAGUAAACAUGGUAAAAUAAGACCACUUGAAGAAAUCAGACGUCAGCUUCUUAUUCUCUAUCACAAUCGUUUAUUUAUUAAGUAACUUAUAUUAUCUGUCACAAGCCUCGUCUCGAGAGUUUAUCUCAAGUUGCCUAUCAUAAAAGAAUAUAGCCUAAUAAUGUUUUUUUGUUCGGGAGCUUUUAUAAAAAUAGACAUAUUAUCAUUCAUUAUAAAUAUGACAGCUAUACUGUGGCUAAUAAACAGAAACAGACUCGACUGAAUAAGCAGGCUAUUUUCAUAAGCGUUAAAAAUAAAUAAAAUAGAAAUAAGUGUGUUUAUGUGUGAUUAAUUUUGCAUGAAGUUGUUCUGAGAGGCGUGUAAAGGGUGUGUUUUAGUGACGUGCAGCGGUGCUUCAAGCUCCACUAUGGAAACGCUGCACUAUUCUGGCCUCGUGCUACUGGCCUGAGGCUAUGAGCCCGCCCGACCCACUUUUUGGCCCGACAGUGGAAAUGCGGCUAGUAUCAAGGGCUCCCUUAUCAGUUCUGCUUUCAGUACUGGAGAGUAAAAGAUAAAAUUUUUUUUGUUUGAUGUUUUUAUUAGUACAUAUACGUUAUCUUGCACAUUUUAUCUCCCCAACAGAUUCUAAUUUGAAAGAAGUUUAUAAUGCAUGUUCGCUACUCACAAUUCAGAAGACUGAAUCAGCCUGUGUAUCUGAAUGUUUCUCAUACUCACUCCUCUCUGCCGCGUCUGAAUUUUGGAUUUUCCUUAGCUGUCAGUUAUAAACGUCAAAAUCAAAAGAAAUAAACAUUUGAAAUAUAUCAGUCUGUGUGUAAUGAAUAAAUAUAAUAUACAAGUUUCACUUUUUGAAUGGAAUUAGUGAAAUAAAUCAACUUUUUGAUGAUAUUCUAAUUAUAUGACCAGCACCUGUAUAUCAUUGCUCUUUUGUUGAUUUUGAUUGCUUCCAUUGUCCUCAUUUGUAAGUUGCUUUGGAUAAAAGUGUCUGCUAAAUGUAAAUGUAAUGUUAAUGUGUAUUUAACUAUAUUUAUAAAUAUUUAUCUGUAUUUUUUAUUUUGUAAUAAUGUAAAUGUAUUUGUUUUAUAUCUAUACAUGCAGUUGUAUUCAUGUAUGUAUAUUUAUUUGUCUAAUUUUUAUAUUUUAAUAAAGCAGUUUAGACUA